GAGACCGUGUAUUCCAGUCGACCUGAUCUUAAGGAAGAACCUUUAGAAGAUGCUGACGAGUCUUGGUAUACUGAUGGAAGCAGCUUUGUGAAACAAGGACAACGUAAGGCAGGGUAUGCCGUUACAACCACUCAACAGGUAAUCGAGUCUAAACCAUUACCUCCUGGGACGUCCGCCCAGAAAGCAGAGAUAAUUGCUCUUAUGUGAGCACUGGAACUAGCAGCAGGAAGGAAAAUAAAUAUUUGGACCGAUUCUAAAUAUGCAUUCGGCGUGGUGCAUGUUCAUGGAGCGAUUUGGAAAGAACAAAUUUUAAAAUUGUUAGAGGUGGUAAAACAACCAGAAAAGGUAGCUAUCAUGCAUUGUCAAGGACACCAAAAGGGGAAUGCCGAUUUUGAAAUUGGAAAUCGAUUGGCAGAUCAAGAGGCUAAGCAGGUAGCUGGAUUAACUGAUGUGAAGGCAUCAUCUUUGGUACCAGACGGUAAAGUUCAAACUAUAUACAUAAACCAAAAGCCAAAUUAUACAAAAGAAGACGUAAAAUUAAUUGAAGAUUUGAAAGGUAAAAUGAAACCAGAUGGAUGGGUAUAUUUAAGAGAUAACUGAGUAGUAAUACCCUCAAAUUUGUUAUGGCUCACAGUUCUUACAUAACACAAUAAAACACAUUGAUGGUCUGACACAUUGCAUAAGAGCCUGAGUCAGACAUUAGUGGGACAAAAUUUAUAUACAACGAUAAAACAAGUAACUCAGCAAUGUAGCAUUUGUUUAC